UUUUUUUUUUUUUUUUAAUAUUAAACAUAUUUUAUUAACAAUCACCUGUUACAUCAACCCUCAGUUGCCCAGGGAAGCAACUAAGGGGCCCCCAAUUUUUACAGUCUCAUUUGUCGGGGAAAAGCAAAUGAGAAAAAAACUCCCACUAUAAAUUAUUAACAUCAACCUUUAUAAAUAUUAUCUAUCCUUGUACAAAUGUACAUGUACCUGCAAUCAAUAUCGAUCUAUAUAUCUAUACAUCUCACCAUAUAUAAUUAUUUCAAUAAAGUUUGUUUUUUAUCUUCAUUUAUUUCUCACAAAGGCUACCUGUAUUUAUUAAGCAGUUUCAAUUUUAUCGUACAUCAAGUCUUUUGUUAUGUUAAUUUCGAUUACAUUAAAUUUCUGGUCGAGUGAUCAUUUACCACGUGCGAUUUGUUAAAGGGAUGUGUAGUUCAUUCAUAAAAAAAAUGGAUUAAUGAUUUUGAUUCCCAAUAAGGAUUAAUAUCAAAGAUAUGGUGAGUAAAUAUUUGUUUAUAAUAUGAACCUGUUGAUACAACAUGUCUUGUUACAAUUAGAUGAUAUACAUGAAUAUAUACACAACAGAAAUUACAUGUAGGGAGUUGCGAGCAGUGUACAUAUUAUUAUUCAAUCAGUAUCAAAGAGGUCAUUGAACUGACCUGACCAUGCAAAAUAUAUAUUUAUAUACAAAAAAUGUCACACAUAGUAGAAAAGGCUUCGAUUUUCGUAUUCGGUUUAAAAUAUUUGAGCAGAAAUUGCAUUUCAUGUUUUAUCAUAUUUAAAAUCACCAAUUUACUUAUCCCUUUCUUUUGAUAUUUUGCGAUAUUUCUAGUUUUCCAGAUAACCCAUUUCGUGAUUAAAAGCACCGUAUCUAAAAUUUGGGUAUAAGAUGCAUCUGCAUUAAUGACCCCAAAAAUUAUACUUGUUUCCGAUUUUUGUAAUUUUUGGAUAUUUAAUUUUGAACAAAAUUCCCUUAUUUUCUCAAAAAUUUCCCGCCAAACGUCUUCCACCAGUUUACAAUAAAUAAAAAGAUGAAAUAGUGAUUCUUUUUCAUUGCAAAAGUGACACUUCCCGUUUGAGCGAUUCAUUUUUUGUAACUUUUCUUCAGUGUAAAUUAUAUUAUGUAGUAACUUCCAUUGAAAUUGUUUAAUUUUCCUGUUAGCUAAAUUCUUAUUCAAAGUUUCCCAAAUGUAAUCCCAUGGUAGUUCAUUCCCAAAAUGUAAAUUCCACUUCAACUGACUAUUUGGAGCUGUUUUAUUCUCAUAAAAGUAUCUAAUAUCUUUAAGGCAUAAUUUUUUGGCAUCAACGACAACUCCAUUUUUUAUAAAUUGACAAGAAUUUAUUAUUUUUAUAGGUCCAUCAGAAUGACUAUGUAUACUAGAGUCUGUUUUUAAAACGUCAAUUUGUUGAGGUGUUAACGAAGAUUUAAUGCGGCUAUAUUGUGCAAUCCAAUUCCUUUUAUCUUUAAGACUGUUAAAAAUAUCAAGGGAUGUUUUAAAGGAUUUAUUGUUUAAGUCCCAUAUAUCUUUAAUUUUUUUUUAUUCCACUGGAGGCAAAAUUUGCAUAAUAUAAUGCAUGUCCCUUGAACUUCAAUUUACAAUUGCCGAAAAUAUUUUCUUCUAAAAGGUCCUCUUUCGUGACCGAUUUUUGGAUUUUCUGUAAGUCAGUCCAGGAAAUUAAAAGUUCUUUAUAAUAUUUGGACAUUUGUAUUUGCUUAAAACAUGUAGUGUCCGAACAAGAACAUAUAAAAAAGUCUGUAUCAUAUUUUUCGUCUAGUGACGUUAACCAGUAUUUUCCUAUUGCAUUCCAUUUUUGUGUUUUUGAGUUGACAAUACUGUACAUACUUUUCACUUGUUUUGAUUUAAUAAAGUCCCUUAAGUUUAUCAUUCCUAUCCCCCUUUUUCUUUCGGUAAACAGCACACUGUUCUAGCGACUUGGUUUGUUUUCCCAUCCCAUAUAAAGGACCAUAUAAUAUUAUUUAUUUGUUUUUCGUAUAUAUCCGGGAUACCUCUCAUUUCAAUUUCGUAUCCAAUGACGGACAGUACAAAGGAUUUAAUAAUUAAGACUUUUCCCGUAAAUGUGAGAUCUCUUGAUUUCCAAACUUCCAUACAGCUUUUUAUUUUAUUUAUUUUUUCUAACCAAAUUUGAUCUAAGUCCACCCCGUAUCCAUGUAGUACCCCUAAUGCUUUCACAGGACGCUUAGACCAUUUAAUUUUGUUAAAUUUUGGUUUUUUAUUUCGCCACUUGCCUAAAUACAUGCCAACAGUCUUAUCCAUAUUCAUUUUAGCCCCCGAAGCAUUUUCGUACAGUUUUAAAGUUUUAAAUGUUUCUUCGAUAGACUCCUCGCUUUUAUUAAAGAGUUGAGUAUCGUCAGCAAACAUAUUUAGCUUUGUUUCAAUAAAGUCCCCAGUUCUAGUAGGAAGUUUUAUUCCUUUUAUAUUAGGAUUGUUUCUAAUUGAUGCUGCAAGUGGUUCUGCUUGCAGGAUAUAUAACAUCGGGGCUAUUGGGCAUCCUUGACGAAUUGAACGGGUUAUGCCUACGAAUCUAGAAGUAAACCCAUUCGUAUGAAUGCACGUCUUAGCGUUAAUGAAAAGCAUUUUUACCCAACUCCUGAAUUUUUCCCCAA
rnacentral:lncRNA from 1 species